GAUGAACGCUGGCGGCGUGCCUAAUACAUGCAAGUCGAGCGAACGGACGAGAAGCUUGCUUCUCUGAUGUUAGCGGCGGACGGGUGAGUAACACGUGGAUAACCUACCUAUAAGACUGGGAUAACUUCGGGAAACCGUAGCUAAUACCGGAUAAUAUUUUGAACCGCAUGGUUCAAAAGUGAAAGACGGUCUUGCUGUUACUUAUAGAUGGAUUCGCGCUGCAUUAGCUAGUUGGUAAGGUAACGGCUUACCAAGGCAACGAUGCAUAGCCGACCUGAGAGGGUGAUCGGCCACACUGGAACUGAGACACGGUCCAGACUCCUACGGGAGGCAGCAGUAGGGAAUCUUCCGCAAUGGGCGAAAGCCUGACGGAGCAACGCCGCGUGAGUGAUGAAGGUCUUCGGAUCGUAAAACUCUGUUAUUAGGGAAGAACAGAUGUGUAAGUAACUGUGCACAUCUUGACGGUACCUAAUCAGAAAGCCACGGCUAACUACGUG
rnacentral:rRNA from 1 species